GCCAGGUACUGCCAUCACGGGGACACGGAGGUGGCAGUUCCCCUCCCAGGCCCCUCAGGGUGCGCUCGUGGUCUCCUGUGUGACAACUUAAACACCAGUGCAAGAGAUGACGGAGCGAUUGAGGCAGCGAGGCUGAGCUGGGCCAAGCUGCCGGGGACUGACGGUCGCCUUCUGUUGCUCCAGAUACCAAGCAGAGGGGCUCUGGUGCCCAACAGCAGUUGGUGGUGACAGGACAGACAGCAGAGGAGUGGCACCAGGGGUUUGGAUCCUGCACUUGACCCUGGCCAGCCACGCGUUCUCAGAUCUCGUCCGUGACGUGCGGAUGGAUUCCUUUGCCAAGGAUUACACGUAUUGGGCAGGACACCAGGUACAGCGAUGCAGCAUCGCCACCCUCUCCACCAGUGUAGACACCCCCCCUGCCCUGCAGUGAGGUCAUGAGGGCCGGCAGAUGGGGUCAUGACUCUCGACAUAUUCUCCUAGUCUGCGGAGGUGAUGACCCUGUGGUCUCUCCUGUGGGGCUGACUCCAGACCACCCUCCUGGCCAUUCCAUCAUCACACCUGCCACCUGCCUGCUCCCCACAGGUCACCGCCCUGCCCAGAGACCUCCGUGCCUUGCCUCUCCCAACUGCCUUCCCGCCUGGCUCAGGAACGUGGGGAUCUCACCCGUGGGUUACGACUCUCGUUACUAGCCGUGCUUGAGGCAGCCUCCCACCAGAAGGGCUGAGGCCACGGGGAGGAGGAGUGGCACAGUGGGGUGAGCCAGUGGAACCCGCUCCCAAACAGAGAGGAUGGGCUGCGGGCAGGCCGCCAGGGGCGACCAGUGGAAAACACCCAAUGCCUGUGUCCUCAGACCCGAGCUUUUCCCCCCAGCCAGCUGGGCACGCGGCCCAUUUUCUUGGCCUCUCCGGGCCUCAGUUUCCGCCCCCCCCCCAUCAUGCAACGGUGGUGGGACUGAGGGGCUUGUGCACAACUCUCAGCCCAAUCCGACUGUCUGGGAUAGCAAACAUUUUAUGCCCCUGCUUUAAUAUCCUGCAAGAAAAUCACAGCUGACAAAGCAUGCCGGCCAAAUGACUUUUUAAGAACCAGUACGGUGCCCUAACUGUACCAUAAAGUAGAAAUCAAAGUCAAAUGAUUUAUGACAAAAAUAAUACAGGUUUUAGGAGGUCAGCACACCAUGUGCCUAAUAUGACCCUGCUGUGGGACAAAGUAAAGAAGCAGUCACAUCUACGCGUGGCCGCUGCAGAGACCGUCAGGAACGGGCAGGUGUCCAACGGGGGCUCCCACGCCAUUCAGGGCGUUGCCAAGGCGAUGUGAUUUUCCGAAAUCAGGAACAGCUCCCAGUCAAGAUCAAAACAAAAGAAAGUACAACUUCUCACAAUUUAGAGACCAGCUGUGCUCCUGGGAAAGUCGGCACUUAGGCGGAAACCAGGUGGUAGUCUCUGGGGAUUAAGGGCGGAUUUUUCCCUUCGUGAAGGUCUGACGGAACCUUCCAAAGUCAGAGGCAUACAGGAUAAUUCUCUACUCUGGGGAUUGCCCCACGCAUUACUGUAUGUCCAGCAUGUCCACCCCCAUGAAUGUCGGUCACCCCCAUCCCCUGGACAGGCAAACAGCCCUGCCAGCACCCCCGCGAUGGGGGCCACCUGGCCCCUGUAGCAGGAGUCGGGUAACGGAGGCUGACGGCCACCCAAAGGCUGCUGCUCUCCCCAGAGCCCUGGGAACAGGAAGGUGAGGGGUGAAGGCAGAGGCAGGGAGACCAGUGAGGAGGCUUCGAGAAUAACUCAGGUGACAAAUAAAGGGGUCCUGAUUGCAAGUAGUGCCGGGCAACAAGGAACUAUGGGGAAGGUGCAGGGGGCUCGGGGGGAUGUUAAGGACCCAUAACCCAGUGGUGAGAGAGAGCGGGGGACCCGACGACUCCCUGGGGCUGGCCUGGAUGAGUGGGUGGGUGAGGCAGUUACCCCGAGGAAGGCGCAGAUCUGGGGAAGCGGAUGCCUGGCCGUGCCUAGUGCAGCCUGCAUGCAGGUGCCGGCAGAGGGGCCCCAGACUCAAGAGACCCACAGCCCCACGCCCCCACCGGGCGCCCAGCCCAUUGCGAAUAUGCAUAAAAUAUCACUACUCUCCCGACCCCUGCACACUGCCCCACUGAGUAACCCUGUUCCCAUGUUCCACCCUGGGGAACCUCGGCACCUGCCCCACCCGCCAGCCCCCUCUCGCCAUUUGCCGUGAGGAUCUGCACCCGUGUCACCACCAUCAGCCACGGGCAGGAGACCAGCCAGCCCCCGAGGGACAGGGCUUACAGAAGGGUACAUGGAGGGUACUCAGCUCAGUUUCUCUCCCGCUCGCUUCCAGCCAGAGCCCGAAUCCCAAACCCAGGACUGAGACGAAGCCAGAGUCCCUGGAGCCACGAGGAGGACUUUGUUCAUAGGCAUCAAAGCCACCCUGCUUGGCCCCAGCUCUCAGAGCCACGUUUCUGGGUCUGAUUACCCACAACUAAGGCUGCCCUGCCAGGGCCCUGGGGUGGGGGAGACGGAAGGCGAGAAUUCCUGGGGCGAGGUACAAGAACAGGGUUCCCAAAGGGCAGAGGGGAGCAGGCUCUGGGACAUUAGAGCCCAGUACAGCGGUUCCUAAAAUAAUUCCACAAUUACUGUAUGAGCCGCCCGACAAUCCUACUUCUGGGUAUUUAUUUACCUGACUGAAUCGAAAGCAGGGACUUGAAGGGAGAUUUGUCCAUCCACGUCCAUGGCAGUGCUGUUCACAAGAGCCAAGACUGGGGGAAACCUAAGUGUCCAUCGACGGAUGGAUAAACAAAAUGUGGUCUAUUCGUGCGGUGGAAUAUUAUUACUCAGCCCUUAAAAAAAGGAAGGAAAUUCCAACGCGUGCUACAAUAUGGAUGAACCUCGUGGACACUGUACUCAGUGAAAGAAGCCAGUCCCAACAGGACGAACACUGGAUGAUUCCACUUGUGGGAGGCACCUGGAGUUGUCAAACUCACAGAGACAGAAAGCAGGACGGUGGUCCCCGGGACUGGUGCGGGGGAGGGGGGUGGGUUGGUGUUUAAGGGGGGACAGAGCUUCGGUUUGGGAAGAUGGAAAGGUUCUGCAGAUGGAUGGUGGGGACAGCUGUACAAUAGGAGUAUACAUAAAGCCCCUGAACUGGACACUUCAAAAUGGCUACAAUGGCCCAGCCUCUCCCCUGUCCCAGCCCCACACUGUCACCCCCUCCCCACAAAAGCUUCCUUCCUUCCUUCCACUUUCCUGACUUUUCUCUCAGCCCAUCAGUAAAAUCCUCAACAGAUUA